rnacentral:rRNA from 1 species
UGAGCGGAUGAACUGAGGGUAGCGGAGAAAUUCCAAUCGAACCUGGAGAUAGCUGGUUCUCUCCGAAAUAGCUUUAGGGCUAGCCUCAAGUGAUGAUUAUUGGAGGUAGAGCACUGUUUGGACGAGGGGCCCCUCUCGGGUUACCGAAUUCAGACAAACUCCGAAUGCCAAUUAAUUUAACUUGGGAGUCAGAACAUGGGUGAUAAGGUCCGUGUUCGAAAGGGAAACAGCCCAGACCACCAGCUAAGGUCCCAAAAUAUAUGUUAAGUGGAAAAGGAUGUGGCGUUGCCCAGACAACUAGGAUGUUGGCUUAGAAGCAGCCAUCAUUUAAAGAGUGCGUAAUAGCUCACUAGUCGAGUGACACUGCGCCGAAAAUGUACCGGGGCUAAACAUAUUACCGAAGCUGUGGAUUGUCCUUUGGACAAUGGUAGGAGAGCGUUCUAAGGGCGUUGAAGCAUGAUCGUAAGGACAUGUGGAGCGCUUAGAAGUGAGAAUGCCGGUGUGAGUAGCGAAAGACGGGUGAGAAUCCCGUCCACCGAUUGACUAAGGUUUCCAGAGGAAGGCUCGUCCGCUCUGGGUUAGUCGGGUCCUAAGCUGAGGCCGACAGGCGUAGGCGAUGGAUAACAGGUUGAUAUUCCUGUACCACCUAUAAUCGUUUUAAUCGAUGGGGGGACGCAGUAGGAUAGGCGAAGCGUGCGAUUGGAUUGCACGUCUAAGCAGUAAGGCUGAGUAUUAGGCAAAUCCGGUACUCGUUAAGGCUGAGCUGUGAUGGGGAGAAGACAUUGUGUCUUCGAGUCGUUGAUUUCACACUGCCGAGAAAAGCCUCUAGAUAGAAAAUAGGUGCCCGUACCGCAAACCGACACAGGUAGUCAAGAUGAGAAUUCUAAGGUGAGCGAGCGAACUCUCGUUAAGGAACUCGGCAAAAUGACCCCGUAACUUCGGGAGAAGGGGUGCUCUUUAGGGUUAACUCCCAGAAGAGCCGCAGUGAAUAGGCCCAAGCGACUGUUUAUCAAAAACACAGGUCUCUGCUAAACCGUAAGGUGAUGUAUAGGGGCUGACGCCUGCCCGGUGCUGGAAGGUUAAGAGGAGUGGUUAGCUUCUGCGAAGCUACGAAUCGAAGCCCCAGUAAACGGCGGCCGUAACUAUAACGGUCCUAAGGUAGCGAAAUUCCUUGUCGGGUAAGUUCCGACCCGCACGAAAGGCGUAACGAUUUGGGCACUGUCUCAACGAGAGACUCGGUGAAAUCAUAGUACCUGUGAAGAUGCAGGUUACCCGCGACAGGACGGAAAGACCCCGUGGAGCUUUACUGUAGCCUGAUAUUGAAAUUCGGCACAGCUUGUACAGGAUAGGUAGGAGCCUUUGAAACGUGAGCGCUAGCUUACGUGGAGGCGCUGGUGGGAUACUACCCUAGCUGUGUUGGCUUUCUAACCCGCACCACUUAUCGUGGUGGGAGACAGUGUCAGGCGGGCAGUUUGACUGGGGCGGUCGCCUCCUAAAAGGUAACGGAGGCGCUCAAAGGUUCCCUCAGAAUGGUUGGAAAUCAUUCAUAGAGUGUAAAGGCAUAAGGGAGCUUGACUGCGAGACCUACAAGUCGAG